GAUGAACGCUGGCGGCGUGCCUAAUACAUGCAAGUCGAGCGAACGGACGAGAAGCUUGCUUCUCUGAUGUUAGCGGCGGACGGGUGAGUAACACGUGGAUAACCUACCUAUAAGACUGUGAUAACUUCGGGAAACCGGAGCUAAUACCGGAUAAUAUUUUGAACAGCAUGGUUCAAAAGUGAAAGACGGUCUUGCUGUCACUUAUAGAUUGAUCCGCUCUUCAUUAGCUAGUUGGUAAGGUAACGGCUUACCAAGGCAACGAUGCAUAGCCGACCUGAGAGGGUGAUCGGCCACACUGGAACUGAGACACGGUCCAGACUCCUACGGGAGGCAGCAGUAGGGAAUCUUCCGCAAAGGGCGAAAGCCUGACGGAGCAACGCCGCGUGAGUGAUGAAGGUCUUCGGAUCGUAAAACACUGUUAUUAGGGAAGAACAUAUGUGUAAGUAACUGUGCACAUCUUGACGGUACCGAAUCAGAAAGCCACGGCUAACUACGUG
rnacentral:rRNA from 1 species